CUUCCGUGAAGAGAUGAUGACGAGUCUGAUGGGAGGUGUUGCCUUUGUCCAGGCGGCUUACUCUGUGCUGCGUUCUGUGGCUCAGUGUCAAGGGUCCUGGGUCAGAGUAACUUCCUAAAGAUGACUUAGAGGCAUUUGUCUGAGAAGG
ensembl:snoRNA SNORD15 Small nucleolar RNA SNORD15